UGGCCUCAGAUCAGGGAGG
rnacentral:rRNA from 20 species